UUCGCUCCAGAUCAUCCCCUCCUCCCAGGGGGAAGGAAAUGGCUGCAAUGGAGCUGGCUCAGGGGCCGGUGACCUUCGAGGAGGUAGCUGUAUAUUUCACCAAGGAGGAAUGGACUCUGCUGGACCCCACUCAGAGAGCCCUCCACAGGGAUGUCAUGCAGGAGAACUAUGAGACGGUGACCUCACUGGUAGGGUUUCCAGUUUCCAAACCUGAUGUGAUCUCGCAGCUGGAACGAGGGGAAGAGC